UCUGGUGGCAGCGUGGUGCUUGUAUCUGUCAUAGGCUGUGUUCAGUGUGCAAAGUCUGGAUAGAUUUGACUAUCCUGAAUCACUGACUGGAGGAAAGGCUGGAUCUUCAUGAGAAAGCACCCAAAAUACCACAGCAAGUGUGUGUAAUGAUUCCCCUAAAGCACCCUAUGGCCAUUUAUACAAGUUUUGAUGGUAAAUGGACAGGAUGGUAGCCUGUGAGAGCAUGAUGAUCAGGGCACCCUUCAGGGAUGAUGGUCUGGGACACCCUACCAGGUAAGCUACUUAGAUUAUACAGGUGCUGGCCGAGGACGAGGUGAGUUCCUCUCUAGGAAUUCCCUUUGGCCAAAGGAGCUGCCUUUCACUGGCUUCAAGUUGUUCCACCACUGAAAAUAUGUCUCUUUGCUCUCUGAGCAUAAUGCCUAAUGCCAUACCCUUCUAGAGCACUCAUUAAUUUAUUCCACUAUCCCUGGCCUUUGACUUCUUAUCCUUCAACUUCUUAUUCAGUGAGACCCAUUUCUUCCUUUCUUUAUGAUAAUUUUUUCUAGAAAACCGUAUAUAUAUAUGUUAUGAUUGAUUAAUUCACUUGCAGCUAUCUUUAUCCUCAGACACUUUCAUCAGCAAAUAACUAUUACUAAAAUGUUUCCUAUUUCUAAACAGCUGGGCAAAGAUUUUGCAGAUUGGUAUCUUAUAAUUGAUUCUAAUAACUUAAGUUGGGCCAUCAAAACUACUUCUCAAGCAUUUUUACUUGGCAGAUCUCAUUUCUUUCAUCAAUUCUACUAAAGCAUCACAGUUCUCAACCUUUAUUUCCACAGAUACAUCCUGGUUGCUACUCUCAACCACUUCUGCCUCACUUCCUAUAAACCUAGCCUUGCCAUCCCCUCCUUUUUCCAGUUUAUUCAAGACUAACUCAUCCACUUUCUGAGACCUUAUCAUCCACACACAUAUUUAUUAUUUUAUUUUUUAAUUUUUUUUGCUUAUUCUCAGACUAAGAAUACCAUCAAGUUGCUCUUGUAGACAAAGAAAAAACUGAAUUCCUCAUUUAGCCAUGAUCACUAUUCUAACUACUGUCAAUCACUCUUGUCUUCUCAUUUUCUUUC